AAAUUAUACGAAGGGACCCAACACAGAAAAUUCAUUUUAUUGAAUUUUACAUUUAUGUGCAAGUUGGGAAAAAUGUCUUAUUUUUUCAAAGUAUUUAAAAGUAAAAUUACAUGUUAAUACGUAGUAUUAAUGGCGAGACUCCUGAGGGAGCAGUGCCAGUCGAAGACAGGGGCCCCAACACAGAAGCUGACAUAUAGUCAGCUUACAACAAUGUGCCGGUUGGGGUGGCUGAGACGGCACCCUAGGAAGGGACCCAUCAUCAAAAAUUCUAUUUAUAGAAUUUUACAGUAAUGUGCCAGAUGGGCAUAGCGAAGCCAUUCAAUACGAAGUAUUGUAUAAAUAGAGAACAGCAG
rnacentral:ncRNA from 1 species